rnacentral:rRNA from 1 species
AACGAACGCUGGCGGCAGGCUUAACACAUGCAAGUCGAACGCAUCCUUCGGGGUGAGUGGCAGACGGGUGAGUAACGCGUGGGAAUCUACCCAUCCCUACGGGAUAGCUCCGGGAAACUGGAAUUAAUACCGUAUACGUCCUUCGGGAGAAAGAUUUAUCGGGGAUGGAUGAGCCCGCGUUGGAUUAGCUAGUUGGUGGGGUAAAGGCCUACCAAGGCGACGAUCCAUAGCUGGUCUAAGAGGAUGAUCAGCCACAUUGGGACUGAGACACGGCCCAAACUCCUACGGGAGGCAGCAGUGGGGAAUAUUGGACAAUGGGCGCAAGCCUGAUCCAGCCAUGCCGCGUGAGUGAUGAAGGCCCUAGGGUUGUAAAGCUCUUUCAGUGGGGACGAUAAUGACGGUACCCACAGAAGAAGCCCCGGCUAACUUCGUGCCAGCCGCCGCAGUAAGAC